rnacentral:lncRNA from 1 species
UGGAUGCACCCAUUGCUGUUGACAAUGUCACCGCCACCGCUACCAUACACUACUCCAGCAGUUCUCUAAGCACAGCUCCCACGACCCUUGUAUCAACUCCUGCAACAAAUGCCACACCUGUUGCAGACAACUUUACUGAUUCCUUGAGAAGCUUGAAUUCAAAGAAAUACCCAGCAAAAGUUCCAUUAAAGAUCGACCAUUCCCUGCUUUUCACCAUCAGCCUCGGCAUCAACCCUUGCUCUACCUGCGCCAAUGGCAGCCGCGUGGUGGCGGAUAUUAAC